rnacentral:RNase_P_RNA from 1 species
GAUCGCGGCUGACCGCCUUUCGUUUCGGAAGGCGGCAGGUGAGGAAAGUCCGGGCUUCACAGGGCAGGAUGCCGGAUAACGUCCGGUGGAGGCGACUCCAAGGCCAGUGCAACAGAGAUAUACCGCCCCGCGGCCUUUCGGAAACGGAUCCCGCGGAAAGGGCCUUAGGGCCUGGUAAGGGUGGAAAGGCAGAGUAAGAGACUACCGCCCGUCUGGUAACAGGCGGGGCACAUGUAAACCCCAUCCGAAGCAAGACCAAACAGAGAGCGACAGGCUUGCCCGGCCUGCUUUCAGGUAGGUUGCUGGAGGCUGCCGGCAACGGCAGUCCUAGAUAGAUGAUCAUUCACGACAUAACCCGGCUUACAGUCCUGCUCAU